CCCGUAGACGCAGCGACGCCGCGUGCGGGAGGAAGCCCUUCGGGGUGUAAACCGCUGUUACUCGGGACGAACUUCUCGAUUCAUCGAGAUUGACGGUACCGGGGGAGGAAGCACCGGCUAACUCUGUGCCAGCAGCCGCGGUAAUACAGAGGGUGCGAGCGUUGUCCGGAAUCACUGGGCGUAAAGGGCGCGUAGGCGGCUUUGCAAGCGUGCGGUGAAAGCUCGGGGCUUAACUCCGAGUCUGCCGUGCGAACUGUGAGGCUUGAGUCUGGUAGAGGUCGAUGGAAUUCCGGGUGUAGCGGUGGAAUGCGUAGAGAUCCGGAAGAACACCGGUGGCGAAGGUGGUCGACUGGGCCAGUACUGACGCUGAGGCGCGACAGCGUGGGGAGCAAACAGGAUUAGAUACCCUGGUAGUCCACGCCGUAAACGAUGGGCACUAGGUCCUUGGGGGAGCGACCCCUUGAGGGCCGGCGCUAACGCAUUAAGUGCCCCGCCUGGGGAGUACGGCCGCAAGGCUG
rnacentral:rRNA from 1 species